rnacentral:rRNA from 1 species
AAUUCACUAGUGAUUACUCCUACGGGAGGCAGCAGUGGGGAAUUUUGGACAAUGGGCGAAAGCCUGAUCCAGCAAUGCCGCGUGAGUGAAGAAGGCCUUCGGGUUGUAAAGCUCUUUUGUCAGGGAAGAAACGGUGAGGGCUAAUAUCCCUUGCUAAUGACGGUACCUGAAGAAUAAGCACCGGCUAACUACGUGCCAGCAGCCGCGGUAAUACGUAGGGUGCAAGCGUUAAUCGGAAUUACUGGGCGUAAAGCGUGCGCAGGCGGUUUUGUAAGUCUGAUGUGAAAUCCCCGGGCUCAACCUGGGAAUUGCAUUGGAGACUGCAAGGCUAGAAUCUGGCAGAGGGGGGUAGAAUUCCACGUGUAGCAGUGAAAUGCGUAGAUAUGUGGAGGAACACCGAUGGCGAAGGCAAUCCCCUGGACCUGUACUGACGCUCAUGCACGAAAGCGUGGGGAGCAAACAGGAUUAGAUACCCUGGUAGUCCACGCCCUAAACGAUGUCAACUGGUUGUUGGGUCUUCACUGACUCAGUAACGAAGCUAACGCGUGAAGUAGACCGCCUGGGGAGUACGGUCGCAAGAUUAAAACUCAAAGGAAUUGACGGGGACCCGCACAAGCGGUGGAGCAUGUGGA